rnacentral:rRNA from 1 species
AUGAACGCUAGCUACAGGCUUAACACAUGCAAGUCGAGGGGCAGCAUUUUAGUUUGCUUGCAAACUGAAGAUGGCGACCGGCGCACGGGUGAGUAACACGUAUCCAACCUGCCGAUAACUCCGGGAUAGCCUUUCGAAAGAAAGAUUAAUACCGGAUAGCAUACGAAUAUCGCAUGAUAUUUUUAUUAAAGAAUUUCGGUUAUCGAUGGGGAUGCGUUCCAUUAGUUUGUUGGCGGGGUAACGGCCCACCAAGACUACGAUGGAUAGGGGUUCUGAGAGGAAGGUCCCCCACAUUGGAACUGAGACACGGUCCAAACUCCUACGGGAGGCAGCAGUGAGGAAUAUUGGUCAAUGGGCGCGAGCCUGAACCAGCCAAGUAGCGUGAAGGAUGAAGGCUCUAUGGGUCGUAAACUUCUUUUAUAUGGGAAUAAAGUUUUCCACGUGUGGAAUUUUGUAUGUACCAUAUGAAUAAGGAUCGGCUAACUCCGUGCCAGCAGCCGCGGUAAUACGGAGGAUCCGAGCGUUAUCCGGAUUUAUUGGGUUUAAAGGGAGCGUAGGUGGAUUGUUAAGUCAGUUGUGAAAGUUUGCGGCUCAACCGUAAAAUUGCAGUUGAAACUGGCAGUCUUGAGUACAGUAGAGGUGGGCGGAAUUCGUGGUGUAGCGGUGAAAUGCUUAGAUAUCACGAAGAACUCCGAUUGCGAAGGCAGCUCACUAGACUGUCACUGACACUGAUGCUCGAAAGUGUGGGUAUCAAACAGGAUUAGAUACCCUGGUAGUCCACACAGUAAACGAUGAAUACUCGCUGUUUGCGAUAUACAGUAAGCGGCCAAGCGAAAGCAUUAAGUAUUCCACCUGGGGAGUACGCCGGCAACGGUGAAACUCAAAGGAAUUGACGGGGGCCCGCACAAGCGGAGGAACAUGUGGUUUAAUUCGAUGAUACGCGAGGAACCUUACCCGGGCUUAAAUUGCAACAGAAUAUAUUGGAAACAGUAUAGCCGUAAGGCUGUUGUGAAGGUGCUGCAUGGUUGUCGUCAGCUCGUGCCGUGAGGUGUCGGCUUAAGUGCCAUAACGAGCGCAACCCUUAUCUUUAGUUACUAACAGGUCAUGCUGAGGACUCUAGAGAGACUGCCGUCGUAAGAUGUGAGGAAGGUGGGGAUGACGUCAAAUCAGCACGGCCCUUACGUCCGGGGCUACACACGUGUUACAAUGGGGGGUACAGAAGGCGGCUACCUGGUGACAGGAUGCUAAUCCCAAAAACCUCUCUCAGUUCGGAUCGAAGUCUGCAACCCGACUUCGUGAAGCUGGAUUCGCUAGUAAUCGCGCAUCAGCCAUGGCGCGGUGAAUACGUUCCCGGGCCUUGUACACACCGCCCGUCAAGCCAUGAAAGCCGGGGGUACCUGAAGUACGUAACCGCAAGGAGCGUCCUAGGGUAAAACUGGUAAUUGGGGCU